rnacentral:rRNA from 1 species
AUUGAACGCUGGCGGCAGGCCUAACACAUGCAAGUCGAGCGGCAGCGGAAAGUAGCUUGCUACUUUGCCGGCGAGCGGCGGACGGGUGAGUAAUGUCUGGGAAACUGCCUGAUGGAGGGGGAUAACUACUGGAAACGGUAGCUAAUACCGCAUAACGUCGCAAGACCAAAGAGGGGGACCUUCGGGCCUCUUGCCAUCAGAUGUGCCCAGAUGGGAUUAGCUAGUAGGUGGGGUAACGGCUCACCUAGGCGACGAUCCCUAGCUGGUCUGAGAGGAUGACCAGCCACACUGGAACUGAGACACGGUCCAGACUCCUACGGGAGGCAGCAGUGGGGAAUAUUGCACAAUGGGCGCAAGCCUGAUGCAGCCAUGCCGCGUGUAUGAAGAAGGCCUUCGGGUUGUAAAGUACUUUCAGCGGGGAGGAAGGCGGUGGAGUUAAUAGCUUCACCGAUUGACGUUACCCGCAGAAGAAGCACCGGCUAACUCCGUGCCAGCCGCCGCCGUAA